GAUGAAGAACGUAGCGAAAUGCGAUAAUUAAUGUGAAUUGCAGAAUUCCGUGAAUCAUCGAGUCUUUGAACGCACAUUGCGCCUCAUGGCAUUCCGUGAGGCAUGCCCAUCUCAGCGUUAGAAAAUAUUCUCAAAUUUUAGUUUUGUGCUAAAAUUUGGAUCAUGUCAAGGAAGCUAUUACUAUUAUUGUGAUCGCUCUUUGGAAAUUGAUAGGUCUUUGAGUUGCUACUCAUAGAACGUGAUGAAUCUUUCUUCGUUCUAUUGUAAUUCACUCUGGUAGUCCUAAAACUUGUAUGCCUGUGGCAUAUCUUGUAAUUUGACCUGAGAUUGGGUAGGGAUACCCGCUGAACUUAAGCAUAUCAAGAAGCGGAGGA
rnacentral:misc_RNA from 1 species